rnacentral:rRNA from 1 species
AUGUCGGAGCAGCCAUUGCCGCAGCCGCGGAGCAGCAUGAGGGAGGCGCUGCAGAAGGAGGACAAGGAGAAGGCGUCGGCGGCGGCGCCCAAGGAGAAGGCGGCCGUGGCCCCGCCCCCGGUCGCCGCGCCCCCCAUGGCCAAGAACGGCGGCGGGAACGGGGGCAAGGGCGGCAACGGGGCCCAGCCGCCGGCGGCGGAGGAGACGACGCGGGAGAUCCAGGUGGUGCGCGAGGCGUACCGGCAGCCGGCGGCCCCGGCGUACGUGAUGCCCGAGGAGCCGCCCGCCAUGGUGGAGCUGGUGGGCUGGUACCUCUACGGCUUCUGCUCCUUCUUCAUCACCCACCUGCUGCUGCCGGUGCUCUUCCCGGCCAUCGUCACCCAGGUCGCCUUCCCCUCCUCCGACUUCACCCCCGAGGCCAAGUACACCGUCAAGGGCGCCUCCUGCUCCGUCCACGAGAUGUCCAUGUACCAGAGGCUGACCAGGUACUCCAUUGAGAUCUCUAGCUCCCACAUGUCGCCCCUGGGCUGGAGCGCCCUCUCGUGGGCGAUCGGCAUCCUCCUCGUGGCGCCGCUCCUCACCCAGGUUGCGCACCACCUCGACAGGGGCCAGUACCAGUCGCUCAUCCUCAUCGCCGCGACGUCGUUCGGCUCCUUCUUCUGCCUGCUCACCGGCUUCUUCAAGACGGUCUGGGUGUUCCUGUUCUACAUCCUCUUCAUUGCCGCGUCCAUCAUCAUCGCCGAGGCGGUGCACACCCGCAACCUCGGGCUGAUGAUCCGUGGCCUCGCCGCUCACGACUCGGGCAAGCACCUUGUCCUGCGCCGCCGCGCUGCUGCCAGCCAGCUCAGCCUCUACUGCACCGCCAUCGGCGGCAUCGGCGCGGCCCUCAUGGCUGCGUUCAUGUACCACAUGCUGAGGCGCACUGACCAGCUCACCGGCCUCUGGGUCGUCUCCAUCUUCAGUGGCCUCAUAUGGUUCAUCGGCAUCUGCCAUGGCCUCUUCACGAACAGGCCCAGCAGCUCGUCACCCACCACCGCAUUCGAGCCGAACUUCAUCAGCAAGCUCAAGUACAGCAUGACCAUUGGCCGCUACCCACAGGCCAUCGGAAGCUUGGUGGCAGUGUUCCUGUCAUCUUUCGCCACAAUGUGCAUCUUCACCAGUGGCACGCUCUACGCCAUUGGCGGCGUCUGCAUCAAGCCGGUCCUCGUGCUCGCGCUGUGGAUCCUCUACUUCCUGUUCCCGCUCAUCUCGCUGCCGCUGCUCCACCCGAUCCAGAUCAUCAUCCGCGCCGACGCCGUCCGCAUGCAGCUGCUCGGGUUCAUCAUCGCCCUCUUCGUCUCCGGCGCCGGGUUCUACUUCAAGAGCCACAGGUGGAGGGCCGCCCACAUCAUCAUCAUCGCCCUUGUCCAGAGCACGGCCAACGGCAUCCUCUACUCGUUCGGCCGCAUUCUGCUGCUCGACGCCUCACCGCCGGGCAAGGAGGGUGCGUUUGCCAUCUGGUACGCCUACGUCCGCUGCAUGGGCGCCAUGAUCGGCUUCGCCGUCGCGUCUGCUGGUCCUGGGCGUGCAGGAGGGUCCUUCGCUGCUGCGUUCCUGGGCAGCUUCCUCGGCAUCAUCGUGCUCAUCUUCGGCAAUGUCAGCAACAUCGGGGCGCUCAAGGCCGCCGGGCAUCUCAAGGGCAUGGAGGACGACAAGAGGAUGGGCGAGAAAGGCGAGGGCAUGAGCGCCGUCGCCGACUCCGGCGAGUCCAGGGGGAGGGUAUGA